UACGAAGGGGGCUAGCGUUGCUCGGAAUUACUGGGCGUAAAGCGCACGUAGGCGGCUUUCUAAGUCGGGGGUGAAAUCCUGGAGCUCAACUCCAGAACUGCCUUCGAUACUGGAAAGCUCGAGUCCGGGAGAGGUGAGUGGAACUGCGAGUGUAGAGGUGAAAUUCGUAGACAUUCGCAAGAACACCAGUGGCGAAGGCGGCUCACUGGCCCGGUACUGACGCUGAGGUGCGAAAGCAUGGGGAGCAAACAGG
rnacentral:rRNA from 1 species